GAGAGGGCUCAGGACAAAGAGAGCUUGCUGGCAGUAGCUGCUGCCUCAACUUGCUGAACUACUUAAAAAGGCAGUGUACUUAGAGUGGGGUCAGCAUACUUAAAGGGGCAAUGUGCAUCUCUCUCU